GAGCCGUAGCGAAAGCGAGUUUUAACUGAGCGUUCAGUUACUUGACGUAGACCCGAAACCGGGCGACCUACCCAUGAGCAGGAUGAAGCGAAAGUAAAAUUUCGUGGAGGGCCGAACCCACGAGCGUUGAAAAGCUCGGGGAUGACUUGUGGGUAGCGGUGAAAUUCCAAUCGAGCCCGGAGAUAGCUGGUUCUCCCCGAAAUAGCUUUAGGGCUAGCCUCAAGGUGAGAGAUACGGAGGUAGAGCACUGAAUGUCCUAGGGGGUAUUGCACCUACCGAAGACUAUUAAACUCCGAAUGCCGUCAUCUUAUACUUGGGAGUCAGACUGUGGGUGAUAAGAUUCAUAGUCGAAAGGG
rnacentral:rRNA from 1 species